rnacentral:rRNA from 1 species
GACGAACGCUGGCGGCGUGCCUAAUACAUGCAAGUCGAGCGGACAGAAGGGAGCUUGCUCCCGGAAGUUAGCGGCGGACGGGUGAGUAACACGUGGGCAACCUACCCUGUAGAUCGGGAUAACAUCGAGAAAUCGGUGCUAAUACCGGAUAAUCAUUUGAAGUGCAUGCUUCGAAUGUAAAAGAUGGCUCCGGCUAUCUCUACGGGGUGGGCCCGCGGCGCAUUAGCUAGUUGGUAAGGUAAUGGCUUACCAAGGCAACGAUGCGUAGCCGACCUGAGAGGGUGAUCGGCCACACUGGGACUGAGACACGGCCCAGACUCCUACGGGAGGCAGCAGUAGGGAAUCUUCCGCAAUGGACGAAAGUCUGACGGAGCAACGCCGCGUGAGUGAUGAAGGUUUUCGGAUCGUAAAGCUCUGUUGUUAGGGAAGAACAAGUGCCGUUUGAAUAAGGCGGCACCUUGACGGUACCUAACCAGAAAGCCACGGCUAACUACGUGCCAGCCGCCGCCGUAAAAC